UUGCAGUUAAAAAGCUCGUAGUUGGAUUUCUUGGGUAGCAAGCGGGUCGGCACAAAGUGUCUGUACUAGCUUUGCUAUUCAAUCCUCGUAACAAGGUAUCGGUGAGUUAACUCCAUUCGGUGCUGAGUUGCGUCAUUUACUGUGAACAAACUAGAGUGUUUAAAGCAGGCAAAUGCUGUGAAUACAUUAGCAUGGAAUAAUAAGAUAGGACCUAGAGUCUAUUUUGUUGGUUGCGAUUUUAGGUAAUGAUUAAUAGGGAUAGUUGGGGGUAUUCAUAUUCAAUUGUCAGAGGUGAAAUUCUUGGAUUUAUGGAAGAUGAACAACUGCGAAAGCAUUUACCAAGGAUGUUUUCAUUAAUCAAGAACGAAAGUUAGGGGAUC
rnacentral:rRNA from 1 species